CCCUUAGAUGUUCUGGGCCGCACGCGCGCUACACUGACUACUUCAACGAGUUGUUUCCUUGAUCGAAAGGUCUGGGUAAUCUUUGAAAGGUAGUCGUGAUGGGGAUAGAUCCUUGCAAUUUUUGAUCUUCAACGAGGAAUUCCUAGUAAACGCGAAUCAUCAGUUCGCGUUGAUUACGUCCCUGCCCUUUGUACACACCGCCCGUCGCUCCUACCGAUCGAAUGGUCCGGUGAAAAUUUCGGAUAGUGACGAUGCUGGCGGUUCGUCGCCGGCGCUGUCGCUAGAAGAUCUUUAAACCUUAUCAUUUAGAGGAAGGAGAANUCGUAACA
rnacentral:rRNA from 1 species